GAGUUUGAUCGUGGCUCAGGUUGAACGCUGGCGGCACUGCCGUUACACAUGCAAGUCGAACGGCAGCACGGGAGCUUGCUCCUGGUGGCGAGUGACGAACGGGUGAGUAAUGCAUCGGAACGUAUCCUGGAGUGGGGGAUAACGUAGCGAAAGUUACGCUAAUACCGCAUAUUCUGUGAGCAGGAAAGCGGGGGACCUUCGGGCCUCGCGCUCUUGGAGCGGCCGAUGUCGGAUUAGCUAGUUGGUGAGGUAAAGGCUCACCAAGGCGACGAUCCGUAGCAGGUCUGAGAGGAUGAUCUGCCACACUGGAACUGAGACACGGUCCAGACUCCUACGGGAGGCAGCAGUGGGGAAUUUUGGACAAUGGGGGCAACCCUGAUCCAGCCAUGCCGCGUGAGUGAAGAAGGCCUCGGUUGUAAG
rnacentral:rRNA from 1 species